CCAGGCCCCUGCCUCCCCAGAACAGAGGAGAGACCACAGCUGUGCCUGGUGAAGCAGCUUUCAUCGGUAUAUCUGUUCCCAAAAGACAUUGAUGCUACCUCCAGGUUUCAGUGGAAGCUCUCCCCUCUAUUAGUCAUUCCUGCAUGUUUCUGCCAGUCACAUCCAGAUGAAUCCUUUUUUGUCCUGGAAUAGAUGAGCAGUCACGCAGAUGAGUUCCCUUUGAUUGAACACAGCACUCGGUAGGGAACAAGUCAAUGGUGUGACGCUCUUUUUCAGGAAUGCAGAGCUACAUUUCACCUCUGUUUCCCGUUUUUGGGACUGAAGAGACUCCAACAUGCGAUCAAUAAGCACCUUGGUGGCAGAGCCGAGCUGAAGCCUGAAGAGCUCCAGGUGGACAUUUGCAGACACCUUGCCAAAGAAAAUGCAGAACUGCUGGAGAACUUGUAUAGCACAACCAUCGCGUCCUUCAGUAGCAGCUGGGAAGGGAUCCGGGCAGGUGCCGCCAACUUAGCUGGCAUCAUCCUGGAACACACAGACACUCAGCGUAUGAAAUGGCUGGACCUGGAACAUCUGC